UGGCAACUGGAAGGAGCUGCGAGAUGUGA
rnacentral:piRNA from 1 species